UGGGGAAUCUUGGACAAUGGGCGCAAGCCUGAUCCAGCCAUGCCGCGUGAGUGACGAAGGUCUUCGGAUUGUAAAGCUCUUUUUGGCGGGGACGAUAAUGACGGUACCCGCAGAAUAAGCCCCGGCUAACUUCGUGCCAGCAGCCGCGGUAAUACGAAGGGGGCUAGCGUUGUUCGGAAUUACUGGGCGUAAAGCGCACGUAGGCGGAUUUGUAAGUCAGGGGUGAAAUCCCGGGGCUCAACCUCGGAACUGCCUUUGAUACUGCAAGUCUCGAGUCCGGAAGAGGUGAGUGGAAUUCCUAGUGUAGAGGUGAAAUUCGUAGAUAUUAGGAAGAACACCGGUGGUGAAGGCGGCCCACUGGCUCGAUACUGACGCUGAGGUGCGAAAGCGUGGGGAGCAAACAGGAUUAGAUACCCGGGUAGUCCCUGAGCGGGCUGGCAAGGCGCAU
rnacentral:rRNA from 1 species